UAGGGAAUCUUCGGCAAUGGGGGGAACCCUGACCGAGCAACGCCGCGUGAGUGAAGAAGGUUUUCGGAUCGUAAAGCUCUGUUGUUAAGGAAGAACGAGUGUGAGAAUGGAAAGUUCAUACUGUGACGGUACUUAACCAGAAAGGGACGGCUAACUACGUGCCAGCAGCCGCGGUAAUACGUAGGUCCCGAGCGUUGUCCGGAUUUAUUGGGCGUAAAGCGAGCGCAGGCGGUUAGAUAAGUCUGAAGUUAAAGGCAGUGGCUCAACCAUUGUAGGCUUUGGAAACUGUUUAACUUGAGUGCAGAAGGGGAGAGUGUAAUUCCAUGUCUAACGUUGAAAUGCGUAGAUAUAUGGAAGAACACCGGUGGCGAAAGCGGCUCUCUGGUCUGUAACUGACGCUGAGGCUCGAAAGCGUGGGGGGCGAACAGG
rnacentral:rRNA from 1 species